AAGAACUGAAUGCCUUCAAUUUAUCAUGGAAAUAAAAAAUAUAAUAUUUUUAAUCUAGAACUUCGAAAAUUACAAAUUCAUCAACCAACCUCAAUGCUUCUGCACUUCUAUUUUUUAAAUCUAAGAGAGUUCCUUGUAAGAUAAUCAAAAGCAAUGAAACUAAUGAAGUUAAAAAGUCUUUAAAAUACUAGAAUGAAGACAAGAAACAAUUUUUGGGGAUUAUUGCAUAAAAUAGAUAGAGUUAUUAUAAAUCCUUUUACGUGCAAACUAUGCUCAUUGAAGUAUUUUAAUAACUCUUUAUAAUUGAAAAAAUAAUAGCCAAUUUCUAAUUUAUGACCAGUUGACAUGAAAAAGUUAAGAAUUG
rnacentral:misc_RNA from 1 species